rnacentral:lncRNA from 1 species
AAAUUCUUCGGGUUAAUUCAGAAGCGUCAGAUAGUUCAUUUGCCAUGAUUUCUAUUAGGUCUGCUCAGAAAUGUUUGAGAAAAGGGUAUAAAGCUUAUCUUGAUUUUUUUGUUGAACACUAAAGAUCUAGAAAUGAAAAUUGAAUCAAUGCCUGUGGUAUGUGAGUUUCUCGAUGUGUUUCUAGAAGAACUACCAGGUU